rnacentral:misc_RNA from 1 species
AAGUCGUAACAAGGUCUCCGUUGGUGAACCAGCGGAGGGAUCAUUACAGAGUUGCAAAACUCCCAACCAUUGUAAACCUUACCGUUACCGUUGCUUCGGCGGGUGGCUUCCUUUGGGGUGCCGCGCCCUCCCUUCGGGGUAGGCAGCCUGCCAGAGGUACACUAAACUCUCGUAUUAAUUGGCAUCUCUGAGUAACUUAUAAAAUAAGUUAAAACUUUCAACAACGGAUCUCUUGGUUCUG